rnacentral:rRNA from 1 species
GUCGUACGAGAGUUUUUACUCAAGUGGCGGACGGGUGAGUAACACGUAAGAAUUUGCCUCUAGGAGGGGGAUAACAACUGGAAACGGUUGCUAAUACCCCAUAUGCUUUCGAGUGAAAUGGAUUUCCGCCUAGAGAGAAGCUUGCGGCUGAUUAGCUUGUUGGUGAGGUAAUGGCUCACCAAGGCGACGAUCAGUAUCUGGUUUGAGAGGACGAUCAGACACACUGGAACUGAGACACGGUCCAGACUCCUACGGGAGGCAGCAGUGGGGAAUUUUCCGCAAUGGGCGAAAGCCUGACGGAGCAAUACCGCGUGAGGGAUGACGGCCUAUGGGUUGUAAACCUCUUUUUUCAGGGAGGAAUUAAUGACGUGUACCUGAAGAAUAAGCAUCGGCUAACUCCGUGCCAGCAGCCGCGGUAAGACGGAGGAUGCAAGUGUUAUCCGGAAUCACUGGGCGUAAAGCGUCUGUAGGUGGUUUAAUAAGUCAACUGUUAAAUCUUGAUGGCUCAACUUCAAAAUCGCAGUCGAAACUAUUACACUAGAGUAUAGUAGAGGUAAAGGGAAUUUCCAGUGGAGCGGUGAAAUGCGUAGAUCUUGGAAAGAACACCGAUGGCGAAAGCACUUUACUGGGCUAUUACUAACA